CAAAUUUUGCUUUACCCGUGUGUACCAUCCCAUACCAAGCAUAUCAUACCGUAUCGGUACCAAACCAAGACUCAGGGAAUGCCCCGAGUGUCGAUAUGCCCAACCAACCACUAUACCAAGCGUACCGACCACUGUAUCAUCAUGGUACUACAACAAAAUCUAGUACCUAGAUCGCGAACCUUAGUCCCAAAUAAUAAAACCUUCCAACCCAAAGAAAUGUGGAUUUCAAGAGUGAAGCCUAUGAUCUCUCAGGACCAUGGUGAAUAUUUAAUCAUCAAACAUAUGCUCAAGCAGGUUUCAAGACCAAAACCAGGCUUACAUGGAUCAUAUGUGCCCUAUUGAGACUUAACAACUUUGAUCCCGUAGGACUAUUCUCAGGUACAGACCAACCCCCAUCAUGAGUUCAGAAAUGGAAAAGACGCC
rnacentral:lncRNA from 1 species